UACGAAGGGGGCUAGCGUUGUUCGGAAUUACUGGGCGUAAAGCGCACGUAGGCGGACAUUUAAGUCAGGGGUGAAAUCCCAGAGCUCAACUCUGGAACUGCCUUUGAUACUGGGUGUCUUGAGUAUGGAAGAGGUGAGUGGAAUUCCGAGUGUAGAGGUGAAAUUCGUAGAUAUCGAGAGGAACGCCGGUGGCGAAAGCGACUUACUGGACCGUUUCUGACACUCAAGCGCGAAAGCUAGGGGAGCAAACAGG
rnacentral:rRNA from 1 species